ACAUACUGCGCACGAAUAAACGCGUCAGAAGCAGUGUGUUCUUCAUUACAGUAGUGCGUACAGUUAUACGGUGUCAGUUGGUCCCAUUAAAUCUGCGUUUAAAAUAUCGGAUAGUUAUAAAACUGCAUAGAGAGUCUGUGACUUAAUUUAUUGCCUGCAAAUUUUGAUUAUUUACGUUUAUACCAGUAACCAACAGCAAAGAUGAAGACUAAAUUCAUCAAUGGCGUCUCUUCCUCGCCUUCAAUGUCUCUGGGUUUAUUGGUAAAUGAGAAUGUCCUCGAAGUCCAACCAGACAUUGGGAACGACUGCAAAGACAUUAUUCGACCGGAUGAGCCCGACCACCAGACGAAGCAUAAGGCGUAUCUAUGGUGUAAAGAAUUCCUUCACGGAGCCUGGAAGUCCAUAGAUGAGGAUGAUUUCCAAAUCUCCAUUAUCAGGGGAGGUCUCAGCAACAAACUGUUCCUCUGUGCUUUGCCAGAGAAGCAACCAAGCAUUGGAGAUGAACCACAAAAUGUGCUCCUUCGUCUGUAUGGAGAAAUUCUGCAGAUGUCCUGUAAUAAAGGGGAUUCCAGACAAUCAAACAAAGAAAAUCACUUUCAAGGAGCUGAUGCCAUGGUACUGGAGAGUGUGAUGUUUGCCAUCCUGGCCGAGAGGGAGCUUGGGCCCAAGCUCUAUGGCAUUUUUCCACAGGGGAGACUGGAACAGUUUGUCCCUAGUCGAAAAUUGUCCACAGAUGAGCUGAGUGUCCCUGGUAUAUUUGCUGAGAUUGCUGAAAAGAUCACCAGAUUUCAUGGAAUGAGAAUGCCCUUCAACAAGGAGCCAAAGUGGCUGUUUGGCACCAUGGAAAAGUACAUGGAUCAAGUGCUUCAGCUCACCUUCACCAGGGAGCAACAUCUACGAAACUUCUCCCGCCUUUUGAGCUACAACUUGCCACAAGAGAUGGACAGUCUCAAGUGUCUACUUGAAUCAACUCCCUCUCCUGUUGUUUUCUGCCACAAUGACUUGCAAGAAGGAAACAUCUUGCUCCUGAGUAGCCGUGAGAACACGGACAGACAGAGGCUCAUGUUAAUCGACUUUGAAUACAGCAGCUACAACUACAGAGGAUUUGACAUUGGAAAUUUCUUCUGUGAGUGGGCUUAUGACUACACCUUUGACAAGUUUCCAUUUUUCAUCACCAACACCAAAAAUUACCCCAACAAAGCACAGCAGAUGCAUUUCUUUCAGACUUAUCUGUUGGAAUCUCAUGCUGGAUUUGAAAACUUGAGUGAGGAGGACCAGCUGAAACUCAAAGAGGAUAUGCUAGUGGAGGUUAACAGGUUCGCUCUGGCCUCCCAUUUCUUCUGGGGAUUGUGGUCCGUGAUCCAGGCCAAAAUAUCAACUAUUGAGUUUGGGUACAUGGAGUACGCCAUGGCCAGAUUUGAUGCGUACUUUGAGCUGAAAAAGAAGCUCAGGGUUUAAAGAAAACCCUUUAUGCAUAAAUUCCCAACGGACAGUAGGAAGAGGGAACAACUGCUCAUAUGGUAUCAAGAAAAGAGCGGCGCAAAUUUUGAAUGUGUUUAAAAGAGGAUGCUCUGCGUCUGUAGUGAUUCAACCGUGCUGCAUGGACCAAAAUCAAUGCAACAUACAUAUUUAAAAAAAGGCCCUGUGCAUUGAGUGUCCCCAUAUGCUGAUUCUCAGUGUUUACAAGUUUAAGCUUCUCACAUUUAACACACCAGCCUGAGCUUCUGGACAGUUGGAGAAUAAUAGAGAAGAAUAACGAGGUCACAGGGGAAAAUAUUUUACACAGCUGCAAUUUGAUUCACAAGUCAAAGAAUGGAGUGGUGGAAAGUUCUUCAUACUAACUUCAGCCUUGUGGUGUUUCUUAUCACCUAGUCAUGUAGUGUCAUCUAUACAACCGGUGAUAGAAGAUGCGCUGUGAAAGAGUAAGGUUCAAAAACUGGACCUGUUACCAGAUGGUAACAGACCAAACGAUGUUAACACUGCGCUUCUGAUGAUUCAGUAUUGUGUUUGUUUCCAUUUCUGUUUCCAUUUUUUGGGUGUCCUUUUUACUGGAUGAUUUACCUCUUUUCUACUUCUAUUAGAUCAUGUCUUGUUUGAUGUCUGUUUCUAGUAGAUCCGCAUGUUGUGAAGUGAAAUACCUGUGGGACCGCACCAUGUGCGUGUAGUAUGAAAUAUCUGUCUUAACAUUGGAAAACUAUGGUUUUGACCAUAGUGAUGUCAUUCCCCUCUUGUUAGAGGUGCUCGUUUAUUUUAUAAGAAUUUGAUAAGUAUGAGAUUACCCGCCUGUAUCUGAUUUGAUACUGAAUUGAUAACUGUUAGAUAUUAAUAUAAAACUUUAUAACAGUUGAUCUUAAAAUAACAGCCUUUUGAUUAAUAUAACAGUUGGUCUGAUUACAAUUUCACAGUGAACGUUUAUGAAUGUUUAUUCUCCUUUUCUUUUUAAAAAUGCUAUAAAAUUGUUUUACGACUGAACAAUAUUUACUUAGUUUUGCAUUUUAGUUCAACUUAUAACCUUAAAUUGCGGUAAAAAUAUUGUUUAUUUUUUUCAUAUAUUUGAAAUUUGUAAUACAAUAUUAUUAAGGCAGUCUUGCUUUUUUACUAAUGGUAAUGUCGAAGGCACUUUGUGAAAAAGUUGUAUUAAUUGCAAAUGUAACUUUUCUAUUAUUUUUCUGCAACGGAAGUUGUAUUGUUCUUAAGAAAGUGUUCUGUGUCGUUACUGAAAUAAUAUAAGUGGAUCUCUUGGCCCUUUUUUAACUGUAGUAUACUGGUGAUCAAUUGAUUUCUGUUUUCACAUAUCACGCACAUAUCUUAAAUCAUAUAAAAUAAAAUAAAUAUAUUUAUUUACAUGUUCCUAUGUAACUGGUCUCUAUGAAUCUCAAUUUUUAGAACAUUAGUAAACAGAAAGGAAAAGUGAAAGUAUAGUGUUGAUGUUAAAAAAAAUUUAAAAUAAUUGAAUAUGAUUCCGUUUUUAAAAUCAGUUGUUUAUCUAGACAAGCUUUACUAACUUAUCCAUCUGUUAACAUCAAUAUAAAGCAUCUGAUGCUUGUUCUCUCUAAAUAUCCAUUAAAUGUACAAAUAUACAAAAUGAGGAAUAGAAAAUUCAAAAGACUUAAGUGAAACCAUUCAACAGGUUGUAAUGUACUAAUUUAUGCUUGCAUAUGACUGUGAAUAAAGGGUUGUAAAA